CUAAAGAAGGAAAGAAAUUUGAAUAAUUUAUGGAUCAUUUGGUGGUCUAUGCUUCAUAAAAAGAAUCUCAAGAUAGAAGUUUAUGAUUCAAAAAACGUUAUUUAGAGUGUUUUUUACAGAUCUUUUGAAACUGUGCAUAAUAUUAGGUUGUUCUGACGUAGAUGUCUUUAUGCUUUAUAUAUAUUUUACAACGACUGGCUGAAGCUAAAAGAUUCAAGUAGGAUUUCAAUGAUCGUGUAGAAGAAUAUUUUAGAUGGAAAAUUUUCUUGUGUUGAUCUGCAGGAUCUUUAAAAGAGAUCUUUCUUACAAUAGAAGAAUUAUUAGUACUUAAAUGUCUAUUUACUAGGCGAAAAUCACUGCUGUUAAACAAGUCACAACCUCUUUCAGAACCAGAAGUUGAUACGCAUACUUGCUUCCGUUUAUGUCUCGAAAACUCAUCAAAACCUGUGCAGCAUUUUAAAAGGUUUCCCAACAAAGCAUACCAGAUAUGUCUUGUAAUCUCAGUAUAUUAACAACGACUGCUUUUCUGAUUCUUGUUUACUUAUUAGCAGUUAAUGGAGAGAACAUCAGGUCAGUUGCGAACACGAAGAAUUCAAGAGAUUCGUUUACGACACAGACAUUUUUAAAUCUCGCUGGUUAUAGACAAAACGUCAAGAAGAGAAUUCGCAGGACACCACCUCCCGUUUUCGGGCAGAGUUUGAUCCUUCAAGGCUUAUCCAGCCCAUUUUGCAGUCUUUUUGGAAGCACGGGUUGCACACCUUAUCCAACUGCCUCUACUCGCUGUGCAGCAGGUUACAGAUAUGAUCCCACCACGCAACGUUGCAGACAGUUACAUGGAAAAAAAUGAGCUGACAUUUUAUGCAAACUUUUUUAACAACGCAAAUAUAAACAGGAACUGAAAACGUUUCUGAUGAAAUCUAACAAAUGCAAAAGUAACGUUUUGAACUGUUGAUGCUUUAAAACGAAAAAGAAGUGUUUCAUAAGCAAUGCUUGGAUCGCCUUAAUUUCAUGACCAACAACGUCUAAAAAUAACUUACUUAUAAUGCUUGAGAUUAUUAUAUAAGAUGUAUUAUUUCAAGAUUUCUUCAUGAAUUAUUAUGUUCCUAGUCUCGUAGCUAUGCCAAAUGGACUGCGUCUAAAACUAAAUAUUUUAUAAGAGGAGAGAAUAAGUAGAGUACUAUUCAUAAAGCCGUUAUUUUUUUGUUUCUUGCAAAAGAAUGCAAAAUCGUUUGAGAAAAUACUAGGAAAAUUCUUAUGAUAAACAUCUUCCUCGGUAGGUCAGGAUCUAAUGAUAUCCACUCAUUAAAUUGAUAAUCUGUUCUAGUCAUUAUCUUCAUCAUGAUUAAUAAUUUAGAAGCGAAUGAUCCAAAAAAUUUCGUAAAAAACAGAAAAAAAAAGAAUAGAAGAAAC